GAUGAAGAACGCAGCGAAAUGCGAUAAGUAGUGUGAAUUGCAGAAUUCAGUGAAUCAUCGAAUCUUUGAACGCACAUUGCGCCCCUUGGUAUUCCAUGGGGCAUGCCUGUUCGAGCGCCAUUUGUACCCUCAAGCUUUGCUUGGUGUUGGGUGUUUGUCCCGCGUUGCGCGUGGACUCGCCUUAAAGCGAUUGGCAGCCGGCAUAUUGGCCUUGGAGCGCAGCACAUUUUGCGCUUCUAGUCAUGAAUGUUGGCGUCCAUUAAGCCUAUACAUUUGCUCUUGACCUCGGAUCAGGUAGGGAUACCCGCUGAACUUAAGCAUAUCAAUAAGCGGAGGA
rnacentral:misc_RNA from 1 species